GGCUCAAGACCAUGUUCCGCUGACUCGUCAGCAACAUGCCCAGGUAGCCAUGAUCUUCAAGGCUACGGCGCGGUGUUCUCACCACGUUGAUCGCCCGUUCACAUAAGGCAUCCAUGGCGAACAUCCAUCAGCCCUGAUGGAGAUGC
rnacentral:ncRNA from 1 species